AUUGAACGCUGGCGGAAUGCUUUACACAUGCAAGUCGAACGGCAGCACGGACUUCGGUCUGGUGGCGAGUGGCGAACGGGUGAGUAAUGUAUCGGAACAUGCCCAGUCGUGGGGGAUAACGUAGUGAAAAUUACGCUAAUACCGCAUACGAUCUACGGAUGAAAGCGGGGGAUCGCAAGACCUCGCGCGAUUGGAGCGGCCGAUAUCAGAUUAGGUAGUUGGUGGGGUAAAGGCUCACCAAGCCGACGAUCUGUAGCUGGUCUGAGAGGACGUCCAGCCAAACUGGGACUGAGACACGGUACAGACUCCUACGGGAGGCAGCAGUGGGGAAUUUUGGACAAUGGACGCAAGUCUGAUCCAGCCAUUCCGCGUGCAGGAUGAAGGCCCUCGGGUUGUAAACUGCUUUUGUACGGAACGAAAAGGUCUCUCUUAAUACGGGGGGCUCAUGACGGUACCGUAAGAAUAAGCACCGGCUAACUACGUGCCAGCCGCCGCAGUAA
rnacentral:rRNA from 1 species